GUAGUCCUGCGGUGUUUCACGCUAGAGUGCAAAUCUAGAGACGAACCCUAACGGCGUUCCAGGGCU
rnacentral:tRNA from 1 species